UAAGUUUGAUCCUGGCUCAGAAGGAACGCUAGCUAUAUGCUUAACACAUGCAAGUCAAACGUUCUUUUCGAGGAGCUGGGCAGAAGGAAAAAAUGCUCCUAGCUAAAGUUGUCUCGCCCUGCUUCGAAACUAUAGGGCGCGCUACAACUUUGACCUAACAGCCUCCGUUUGCUAGAAUCAAUUCCAGUUGAGAACAAAGUGGCGAACGGGUGCGUAACGCAUGGGAAUCUGCCGAACAGUUCGGGCCAAAUCCUGAAAAAAUCUCAAAAGCGCUAUUUGAUGAGCCUGCGUAGUAUUAGGUAGUUGUUCAGGUAAAGGCUGGCCAAGCCAAUGAUGCUUAGCUGGUCUUUUCAGAUGAUCAGCCACACUGGGACUGAGACACAGCGCAGACUCCCACAUGGGGGCAGCAGUGGGGAAUCUUGGACAAUGGGCAAAAGCCCAUCCAGCAAUAUCACGUGAGUGAAGAACGGCAAUGCCGCUUGUAAAGCUCUUUCGUUGAGUGCGCGAUCAAGACAGGACUCUAGGAGAAGCCACGGCAAACUCCAUGCCAGCAGCCGCGGUAAGACGGGGUAGGGGGGGAGAGGAGGGAGGGGCAAGUAUUCUUCGGAAUGACUGGGCGUAAAGAGCACGUAGGCGGUGAAUCGGGUUCAAAGUGAAAGUCGCCAAAAAGUGGCGGAAUGCUCUCGAAACCAAUUCACUUGUGUGAGACAGAGGAGAGUGGAAUUUUGUACAUAGGUCUACAAAGGAACGCCAAAAGCGAAGGUAGCUCUCUGGGUCCCUACCGACGCUGGGUGAGAAAGCAUGGGGAGCGAACAGGAUUAAAUACCCUCGUAGUACCUGCCGUAAACGAUGAGUGUUCGCCCUUGGUCUACGCGGAUCAGGGGCCCAGCUAAUGUGUGAAACACUCCGCUCGAAACUCAAAGGAAUUGAUAGGGGCCUGCACAAGCAGUGGAGCAUGUGGUUUAAUUCGAUAUAGCGCGCAAAACCUUACCAGCCCUUAACAUAUGAACAACAAAACCUGUCCUUAACGGGAUGGUACUGACUUUCACAUAGGUGCUGCAUGGCUGUCAUCAGCUUGCGUCGUGAGAUGUUUGGUCAAGUCCUAUAAUGAGCGAAACCCUCAUUUUGUGUUUCUGAGACAUGCACCUAAGGAGAAAUAUCCGAGGAGCCGAGUGAUGUGCCAGCGCUACUACUUGAUUGAGUGCCAGCACGUAGCUAUGCUUUCAGCAAGACUUUCACUAUUGGGAGCCGGUGCCUGUUGAAGCACUUUCACGUGUGAACCAAAGUCAUCUUGCUGAACUCAAGACCCACAGAGACCUACCUAUAGUGACGUCAAAGUACUAGUGAGCAUGGAGGUUUGGUUAGGUUUGGUUACGAUGGCGUCGAGUUGGUGGCGUAGGAAGACUCGGCAUAAAGGCCAGCCGCCCGGUGGUGCGGUACGUAGUGGUAAUAGUAUGUGCCCUGCUCUAAAACAAAGAAAAAGGUGCAUGCCACGCUUAUGAGGGACUGCUAGUGAGAUACUGGAGGAAUGUGGGGAUGACGUCAAGUCUGUAUGGCCGUUAUGGGCUGGGCCACACACAUGCUACAAUGGCAAUGACAAUGGGAAGCAAGGCUGUAAGGCGGAGCGUAUCCGGAAAGAUUGCCUUAGUUCAGAUUGUUCUCUGCAACUCGGGAACAUGAAGUUGAAAUCGCUAGUAAUCGCAGAUCAGCAUGUCGCAGUGAAUAUGUAACCGGGCCUUGUACACACCGCCCAUCACACCCUGGGAAUUGGUUUCACCCAAAGCAUCGAACCAAUGAUCACCCAUGACUUCUAUGUACCACUAGUGCCACAAGGGCCUUUGCUGGUCUUAUUGGCGCAUACCACUGUGGGGUCUUCGACUGGGGUGAAGUCGUAACUAGCUAGCCGUAGGGGAACCUGUGGCUG
rnacentral:ncRNA from 1 species